GGUUUCUUGAAAUGUAUAGGAAAUUUAACCUGCCCACUGAAUAAUUGAAGGGCCGCAGUAUAUUGACUGUGCAAAGGUAGCAUAAUCAUUAGUCUUUUAAUUAAAGGCUGGAAUGAAUGGUUGGACGAGGUAAAUUCUGUUUUAUAUUAAAAUAUUGAAUUUAUAUUUUAAGUAAAAAUACUUAAGUGUAGUUAAGGGACGAGAAGACCCUAUAGAGUUUAAUAAAUGAUAUGUUUAAUUAAGUUAUGAAGGGGUUAAUAUUAUUAUGAAAUUUAUUUGGUUGGGGUGAUAAGAAAAUAAAAAGAACUUUUCUUUUAAGUGAAUAUUAAUAAAUAGAUGUUUGAUCCAUAUUUAAUGAUAAAAAGAUAAAAUUACCUUAGGGAUAACAGCAUAAUUCUUUUUGAGAGUUCUUAUCGAAAAGAGGGAUUAUGACCUCGAUGUUGGAUUAAGAUAAAUUUUGGAUGUAGAUGUUCAAAUUAUAGGUCUGUUCGACCUUUAAAAUCUUACA
rnacentral:rRNA from 1 species